rnacentral:lncRNA from 1 species
AAGGCAUCGGCAUAUAGGUCACUGUAUCACAUUGUUAGUUCCGCCAUCUUGCUUUUUGCUGUGAUUGUAUCAGUUAUUGACCGGUGACGUAAUCGAAUAGCCAUGGGAGGCUACUCAAGCCUUGUGCAGAGGAGAAGCCCAAAGGAUGCUUGGGUAUUCGCAACAACCUGGCUAUAUAUUCCCGGAUUCCAACCAUGUCGAGGAAUGAGCGUGAGGAAAGAAAUACGCAACUGCGCGACAAUGUCAAACACAGCUCAUGAAUCAGCAAAAAUGGGAGCGGAGAAAUUAGAAAAAGUUGCUGUGAGGCCAAUGACUAUCAUAUAUUUAUCAUUUCCAACGAGCAUUAGUCCUAGUUGAAAAACCUCAUAUAUCUCGGUUUUUCCAACCGGGACUAAUCAUUUCGGACUAAAGGUCUCGGACUUUCACCCGGAACUAAAGGCACAUCUUUAGUCCGGGUUGGAAUUAGAGUUUUGCGCCAAAAAAAAUUCUAAAGUCACAAGUCAUGCGAUUUUUCUCGCGAAAUAUGCGCGUGCACAGUGCGUGGAAUUCCAACUCACGACCUCAAGCAUAGCUUCCUUACCA